CCCUCCUUUUUAAACCCCCCUCCCUGACUCCCCUGUGGACUUCAUGGCCUCCUAUUAUUUCGCCGAUUUGUUUUUGCAUCCUGGUUGAACCUUCUAGUGUGAAAGAAAAAAAAAACGAUCAGGAUCAUAUAUGUGCCUUUGCAGGGACGCGGGGGGCAUAACCUAACAAAUGUGUGGGGUCAAUUGGUUUCCCAAGGGGACGCUACUGAGAAGCUGGCUCACCAAGUCCCGGCCCAGACUGCUGUUGCUCAUCGCGGGGUUGAAAAGGCCUCAGGUGACCCUCAUGCGGAGGAAAAGGAUGAAGCGCACAAAAGUAGCAAAGGCCACGUAAGCGAACCUGCAAUCGAAUGCCGCAUUUCACUUGAGGUCUUGGCAAAGAGGAUCUCCCCACCGGAGUUGGAUAUGAAAGACGAAGACAUGGAAGAACUACGUUUUGAAUCUUUGUCGAAGCAACGAACUAAAAGCCAAAGCAAACAGAGAGGUUUACCGUCUUUUGUGAAAACAAGGGAUCUGCAACAGAGAUCUAGACCCCCUGAUUAAAUCCGAGAUCUUCUCCUACACACCCAUUUGUAUAUCUCUUCCAAUCCAAAUGUGUUAUGGUUCAUUAUAGUACAAUGAGUGUGACUUGUACAUUAUUUACAUCCAGUGGCAUACGUUUAGUUUAACAGAACUAUUGCUGUGUUCUUAGGAUAGAUCUUUUCCAGUCAGAGAAUGAUUUGUUGUUUCACAUAAGCUAAAUUGUGUUUGAGUGGGUGAAUAAGAAAAUAGUACCUCUCCGUGGCUAGCAGGUGCAAAUAUCUAAACCACAGUAGGUACACACGAUUAAUGCAACUCUGGGCCAAUGAAAGAGUCGCCAUUAACAAUCUGACCCAUCAUUUUUCCUUAUUUUACAUAAACCAUCUAAGUGACUUGAAAGGGGAAAAACAGAGCGAGAAGGGGUUAAACAUUUGAGUUAAACAUUCAAAUCUCAUCAAAUUGUAUUGGUCACAUACUUUGCAGAUGUGAUUGCAGGUGUAGCGAAAUGCUUGUAUUUCUUUACAAAUAGGUAACAAUUCUAGGCAACACUUUUACAUUCAAAUCAUAAAGCCUAUUUUUACAUAUUUUGGUAAAGUUUAUUUUACCAACCCAAGUAAUACACUUAAAAAAAAAAAUCAGAUCAUAAAUUACAAACACUUAACCUCGCUAGCAAAAAAAAGUUUGCACCAUUUGAAAGUUAUAGUUAACACAAUUAACAAUUUAUAGAUUCUUUUGUCUUACUUUUGUAAUCCCAUUGUCAUUUUUGCUACCAUGAGAUGGGAAGCACAAUGUCUCAUCAUACAAAAAUAUAAGUAUUGGUUUCACAUUGAUAGCAAUCUUUGAAUAUGAUAAAUUACUCAUUUUUCAUGGUUACACUUUAUACUAAGUUGUCCCAUUUCACAUGUAAAUACAUUCACUUCCGUUAUACAAUCUUCAAAAUUGGAAUAGUCAAAAUUAAGGUAGAUAAUUACUAAACUCUAGUUCAAGCUCAACUCUGGUUUGAACCAUACACAUUUAAAUUCCUCCAAUGCGUCACUCAGAAUAACAUGAGCUUUGUUACUCGUAUAUACUCAUGCUGUAACAAAUUAUUUCUUAAAACAAUAAACUGCCAACUUAAUACAAAGUGUGACCGGAUAUACUCUCAUGGAUUAAUGCGGUAGCUUUGUUUCAAUGUGUAUUUGUUCUAAACUGUACUUAAGUGAUUCAUUUUUAAAAUGUUUCAUUAUAGUGAAUUUUGUAUUACUGAAAUUAUUUUAUGCAAAUGAUCUACAGGGUUGAAGGGGAAACUCGGCAUCAACCAGUGUUACCCAAACCUUGGUCUCGGAGAACUUGAGUAUGCUGGUUUUCCAUCAACUCAUUAUAUUCAUGGUUUUUAUUUGAACUGUUGAUGGCUUGGCUGGGUCUUUUGUUGCUCAAACAAGUCUCUGAAAGGAUGGCUUGUAAAAGAAACCAGCAUUCAAAAUAGUUCAGGUUGGGGAAGCAUUGGAAUGAUAAACCACUCGGAUUUGGAACAUCCUGUUGAAAUGCAAGACUCAAAAAGGUGAGUCAACUUUGCAAUUAAAUUGAACAACAUAUGGCUAAUAACUCCAGUGAGAAUAGAGAAACUAAACAGAACAGCAGCAUUAGUGUCACUGAGAAUAUAGGAAAGUGAUGGCCCACCUAGGAGUAAAGUUGGGACAUGGAUAUACUAGUUUUCAUUUGAACAACGUUCAUAUGCAUUUGUUGCUGCCAUUAACACUGCCAAGUUCAGUUAAGAUCAAUUCAGAAACUAGUGGUUACAAAUAUACAGCACAAACCUUACGUUGACUGUUCAGAUUGAUUUUGCAAAUUGCAAACUGUACAAAUGUGGUCCACAUACAAUAUUUUGCAUUAAUUAGGUUGUGUACUAGUUUGGUCCCUUGGCCUAAAUGACACUGCUCAUUCACUCAUUAGUGCAGAGAAAAGGAAGAGAAUUUCACAACCACAGUUUUUUUGCAGAGCCAACACUUGAGGAAUACAGGCUUGUGAUAGAGGAUUUGGGGUAACGUAGUGCAUGCAGAAGAGAAUAGCUUAGCUCCAUCACUGGGCGGCACUAGGCUUGGGUGGCUUGGUUAUUUUGCAGUGAGUUUCUGCUGAAUGAGUUUAUAUUUGAGCAGCUCUUGUUCAGAGACGGACGGUUUGAGGCAAUCCAAUGCUUGGUUAAAGUCUUCGGCAGAGAGUAUGAGAGGAGUAUCCUCGGUGUCCAGACCUGAGAGUGAAAGAGGGCGAGAGAGAAAAGGAGGGGCAGUGGAAAUGAUAAAAAGGGGGUAGAGAAUAUAGAAGAGUAGAAGGGGGUUGUGGAGAGAAGGGGGGUAGAGAACAUAGCAGAGUAGAAGGGGGUUGUGGAGAGAAAGGGGGUAGAGAAUAUAGCAGAGUAGAAGGGGGUUGUGGAGAGAAAGGAGAGUGUGAAAGAUAAAUAAGUCCCUAUUGCACUUGUUACUAACGCUUGAGGUUGCCAUAGGAACUGAGACAGUCACCUCUUAAAAUACUAUUAACAGUAGAUAUGACAUUGGUAUUUAGAAAGGAUGAUAUGAAAGAAUGGUAUUUUAUAUAUUUUCCAGUACAUCAUUUAUAAUGUUUUAAGUUUUUGUGGAAUGAAAAAUUCAUAGAGAAACAAUUGCCACAAAUUUUGCACUGUAGUAAAAACUUCUGAACAUGACUCGGAA